ACCUACGGGGCGCAGCAGUAGGGAAUCUUCCACAAUGGGCGAAAGCCUGAUGGAGCAACGCCGCGUGGGUGAAGGAGGUCUUCGGAUCGUAAAACCCUGUUGUUAGAGAAGAAAGUGCGUGAGAGUAACUGUUCACGUUUCGACGGUAUCUAACCAGAAAGCCACGGCUAACUACGUGCCAGCAGCUGCGGUAAUACGUAGGUGGCAAGCGUUAUCCGGAUUUAUUGGGCGUAAAGGGAACGCAGGCGGUCUUUUAAGUCUGAUGUGAAAGCCUUCGGCUUAACCGGAGUAGUGCAUUGGAAACU
rnacentral:rRNA from 1 species